rnacentral:lncRNA from 1 species
UCGAAUUCGUUAUGUGCCAUAUACUAACAUGUGAGUCCCUUCCAAUAUUGUCGCGCGCAGGCACAAGUAAAACAACAAAGAUAUUCAAAUUUUGUCUUUACUCGACAUCUCAAACUUCAUUUACUGGAGCAUAUACCAUUUAUAACAUCAUACCUUCAUGGGGGACUUCAGCGCAAUCUCAAGUGAAAUGAUACCAAACUAAGUAUUCAAACAAAAUAGUAGAGUAAACAAACUCGAAGAAUAAGUAGUAACAAAAUAACUAACCAGAACAAGUUAAAUAUUCCAAACGAAGCAGACUAAUUAUAAAUUCAAGCACUUAGAUAUAAUCUAGAAUACAUUCGAUCUUCUACAGUCGUGACACUUCCUGAAAGUGCUGGCAGAUGACAUCCUCGAUCAACAGGACCAAGCUUCACCGGUAACCUCAGCGUAAUUGCGACAGGACCUCGAAACUGGCCAGAUCUCCCGUGUAAUAAUAUCUAGUUGUGGUGGGAAUGUUCGCUGAUUUCAGUUGUUAAACGAAGAGGAAUCAGUGCUAGAAGGGUGAUCGUUUGUUCUCUACUAUGCUUGCUUCUUCCACCGAUUUCAAGGGGUUCAAAAGGUGGGUCAAGAGGAGGGAGCUUCAGGCGGGGUCGUCUCCAUUGCUGUAUAUGCUCAUGGUCGAUAAAAGAGCAGGGGUCGUUUGGAGGAGACGAGACAGGGGCGGGCGCCGAUGGGAAGGGCUUUGAUGGGUUCUUCAGCGAGGAAUGAUCUUCAGGGAUCCUUUCUCGCAAAAGCUACGCAACCUUUUCGAUUUCCAGGCGUGUCUCCGCAUAGAUUGUGUGUACAGUAUGUAUUUUCUGUGUAUGUGUGUUGUUUCAAGAGAAUAGCAAGGCUGCACCCCUUUAAUUUCCAACGCUCUCUACUGUCUUCUCUAUCGUGUGUAUAUGUGUGUUUAGGUUAGGAAAUUGAUUUGGGUCUUGGGUUGGAUUGGGUCGACCCAGUUUGGGUUGGGUAGGGGCUAAUUUAAGUUGGG